ensembl:lncRNA
UCACACGAAUAAAGAUUUAUUGCAUAUAUAUGCAUAUUUGUUUGUACUAUCAGUACUAUUUUUCUUUAAUACAUUGUUAAAACUUGACUCACCGUGUUUACGAGCUCUCAGCCAUCUGCUGCGGGCGUCCUCCCGUCACUAUGGCGACGACGCACGCGAGAUAGAAAACAAUCAGCACUAAAAAGCGCCACAAUAGCGGAGCACGGUUAUCAGGAGGAAACGUCCCCAAAAGAAACUAUGAGGCAGCUCAAGGUGAUCUCCUGUUCUGCAAAACAGAAUCGUCCCUAAAUUGUUGCUUAUUCCAACCACUGCCCCAAUGCAAAUCCUCACUCGUCUUCAGGAAGGCUGGCAGAAGCCGCACAUCCAGCCUUUUGGGAACCUGUCCACACACCCAGGCUGUUCUUCCCUGCAUUACGCUGCACAGGUCUGUCCUCGCCAUCUGGAGUUUCAUCUGUGUGCUUUUACACACCACAUGUCUAUCCAGACACCGAAACGGGAGCAUGACAUUGUCAUGACA